rnacentral:lncRNA from 1 species
AUAAUGGAUUUCAUAUUUCAAACAAAAGUUAAAUAAUGUUGAGAAAGAAAAUUAUUUGUGAAAACAUAUCUACUGAUGACACUAAUUAAAAAGGGUAAAAGGACCAAACUAUUUUGUCUAAGCUUAAAAAGAGAAAGGUCAGAACAGACAACAAACUCUCUACUUCUUGAACUUAUUUGUGUCUUCAUCAAUUAAGUCAUCUUCAUCUAUGAUUAGGUUUCUUCUUUUCCUACUAUUAGUCCCAUCAAUGACAUGCACUUCUUCCUCAUGAUCUUCGAAUUUAUCCAAUAAGAUGUCAAAAGAUACCUGUUUAAUUUGUAAAACUACAUUUGUGAGCAUGUGUAUUAAAAAUGUUAAUCUUAAGAAGAAAUAGACGUCCCAUAACUGAAACAGUGUAUCUGAAUGAAUACCUUUUCUGUGGACAGUUCUUUGAGAACGCGAUCUUUUGGCUCACUUUCAUCCCGUAUCAAAUUCUGCACAUGUAAAACCACCAGCGAAAAAUAUGAUUUACAAAGUAUAUGAAAUUUUUGUCUAAGCUUAAAAAGAGAAAGGUCAGAACAGACAACAAACUCUCUACUUCUUGAACUUAUUUGUGUCUUCAUCAAUUAAGUCAUCU